rnacentral:rRNA from 2 species
CUGUGAGGCAUGCUGGAGGUAUCAGAAGUGCGAAUGCUGACAUAAGUAACGAUAAAGCGGGUGAAAAGCCCGCUCGCCGGAAGACCAAGGGUUCCUGUCCAACGUUAAUCGGGGCAGGGUGAGUCGACCCCUAAGGCGAGGCCGAAAGGCGUAGUCGAUGGGAAACAGGUUAAUAUUCCUGUACUUGGUGUUACUGCGAAGGGGGGACGGAGAAGGCUAUGUUGGCCGGGCGACGGUUGUCCCGGUUUAAGCGUGUAGGCUGGUUUUCCAGGCAAAUCCGGAAAAUCAAGGCUGAGGCGUGAUGACGAGGCACUACGGUGCUGAAGCAACAAAUGCCCUGCUUCCAGGAAAAGCCUCUAAGCAUCAGGUAACAUCAAAUCGUACCCCAAACCGACACAGGUGGUCAGGUAGAGAAUACCAAGGCGCUUGAGAGAACUCGGGUGAAGGAACUAGGCAAAAUGGUGCCGUAACUUCGGGAGAAGGCACGCUGAUAUGUAGGUGAAGUCCCUCGCGGAUGGAGCUGAAAUCAGUCGAAGAUACCAGCUGGCUGCAACUGUUUAUUAAAAACACAGCACUGUGCAAACACGAAAGUGGACGUAUACGGUGUGACGCCUGCCCGGUGCCGGAAGGUUAAUUGAUGGGGUCAGCGCAAGCGAAGCUCUUGAUCGAAGCCCCGGUAAACGGCGGCCGUAACUAUAACGGUCCUAAGGUAGCGAAAUUCCUUGUCGGGUAAGUUCCGACCUGCACGAAUGGCGUAAUGAUGGCCAGGCUGUCUCCACCCGAGACUCAGUGAAAUUGAACUCGCUGUGAAGAUGCAGUGUACCCGCGGCAAGACGGAAAGACCCCGUGAACCUUUACUAUAGCUUGACACUGAACAUUGAGCCUUGAUGUGUAGGAUAGGUGGGAGGCUUUGAAGUGUGGACGCCAGUCUGCAUGGAGCCGACCUUGAAAUACCACCCUUUAAUGUUUGAUGUUCUAACGUGGACCCGUGAUCCGGGUUGCGGACAGUGUCUGGUGGGUAGUUUGACUGGGGCGGUCUCCUCCUAAAGAGUAACGGAGGAGCACGAAGGUUGGCUAAUCCUGGUCGGACAUCAGGAGGUUAGUGCAAUGGCAUAAGCCAGCUUGACUGCGAGCGUGACGGCGCGAGCAGGUGCGAAAGCAGGUCAUAGUGAUCCGGUGGUUCUGAAUGGAAGGGCCAUCGCUCAACGGAUAAAAGGUACUCCGGGGAUAACAGGCUGAUACCGCCCAAGAGUUCAUAUCGACGGCGGUGUUUGGCACCUCGAUGUCGGCUCAUCACAUCCUGGGGCUGAAGUAGGUCCCAAGGGUAUGGCUGUUCGCCAUUUAAAGUGGUACGCGAGCUGGGUUUAGAACGUCGUGAGACAGUUCGGUCCCUAUCUGCCGUGGGCGCUGGAGAACUGAGGGGGGCUGCUCCUAGUACGAGAGGACCGGAGUGGACGCAUCACUGGUGUUCGGGUUGUCAUGCCAAUGGCACUGCCCGGUAGCUAAAUGCGGAAGAGAUAAGUGCUGAAAGCAUCUAAGCACGAAACUUGCCCCGAGAUGAGUUCUCCCUGACCCUUUAAGGGUCCUGAAGGAACGUUGAAGACGACGACGUUGAUAGGCCGGGUGUGUAAGCGCAGCGAUGCGUUGAGCUAACCGGUACUAAUGAACCGUGAGGCUUAACCUU